UGCCAGCCGCCGCGGUAAUAGGGAGGGUGCAGGCGUUGCUCGGAAUUACUGGGCGUAAAGCGGGCGCAGGCGGUCUGUCAAGUCGGGUGUGAAAGCCCAGGGCUCAACCCUGGAACUGCAUCCGAAACUGGCAAACUUGAGUACGAGAGAGGGAGGCGGAAUUCCUGGUGUAGAGGUGAAAUUCGUAGAUAUCAGGAGGAACACCAGCGGCGAAGGCGGCUUCCUGGCUCGAUACUGACGCUCAUGCCCGAAAGCGUGGGGAGCAAACAGGAUUAGAUA
rnacentral:rRNA from 1 species